GACGAACGCUGGCGGCGUGCUUAACACAUGCAAGUCGAACGGUGAAGCGCCUUCCUUUUUGGUGGGUGUGGAUGAGUGGCGAACGGGUGUGUAACACGUGAGUAACCUGCCCCCUUCUUCUGGAUAACCGCAUGAAAGUGUGGCUAAUACGGGAUAUUCUGGGUCUGUCGCAUGAUGGGUCUGGGAAAGAUAUUGUUUCGGUGGGGGAUGGGCUCGCGGCCUAUCAGCUUGUUGGUGGGGUGAUGGCCUACCAAGGCGGUGACGGGUAGCCGGCCUGAGAGGGUGGACGGUCUCACUGGGGCUGAGACACGGCCCAGACUCCUACGGGAGGCAGUAGUGGGGAAUAUUGCACGAUGGGGGGAAGCCUGAUGCAGCGACGCCGCGUGGGGGAUGGAGGCCUUCGGGUUGUGAACCUCUUUCGCCAGUGAAGCAGGCCUGCCUCGUUUGUGGGUGGGUUGACGGUAGCUGGAUAAGAAGCGCCGGCUAACUACGUG
rnacentral:rRNA from 1 species